rnacentral:rRNA from 1 species
UAAACGACUCUCGGCAACGGAUAUCUCGGCUCACGCAUCGAUGAAGAACGUAGCAAAAUGCGAUACUUGGUGUGAAUUGCAGAAUCCCGUGAACCAUCGAGUUUUUGAACGCAAGUUGCGCCCGAAGCCACUCGGCCGAGGGCACGUCUGCCUGGGCGUCACGC